rnacentral:rRNA from 1 species
AGUGAACGCUGGCGGUAGGCCUAACACAUGCAAGUCGAACGGCAGCACAGUAAGAGCUUGCUCUUACGGGUGGCGAGUGGCGGACGGGUGAGGAAUACAUCGGAAUCUACUUUUUCGUGGGGGAUAACGUAGGGAAACUUACGCUAAUACCGCAUACGACCUACGGGUGAAAGCAGGGGAUCUUCGGACCUUGCGCGAUUGAAUGAGCCGAUGUCGGAUUAGCUAGUUGGCGGGGUAAAGGCCCACCAAGGCGACGAUCCGUAGCUGGUCUGAGAGGAUGGGCAGGCACACUGGAACGGAGACACGGUCCAGACUCCUACGGGAGGCAGCAGUGGGGAAUAGUGGACAAUGGGCGCAAGCCUGAUCCAGCCAUACCGCGUGGGUGAAGAAGGCCUUCGGGUUGUAAAGCCCUUUUGUUGGGAAAGAAAAGCAGCAGGUUAAUACCCCGCUGUUCUGACGGUACCCAAAGAAUAAGCACCGGCUAACUUCGUG